AUUGAACGCUGGCGGCAGGCCUAACACAUGCAAGUCGAGCGAGCGGCGGACGGGUGAGUAAUUCCUGGGUAUCUGCCUGGUGGUGGGGGAUAACGUCCGACAACGGGCGCUAAUACCGCCUACGCUUGGAGCGGACGAUGCCCGAUUAGCUAGUUGGUGAGGUAAAGGCUCACCAAGGCGACGAUCGGUAGCUGGUCUGAGAGGACGACCAGCCACACUGGGACUGAGACACGGCCCAGACUCCUACGGGAGGCAGCAGUGGGGAAUUUUGGACAAUGGGGGCAACCCUGAUCCAGCCAUGUCGCGUGCAGGAUGAAGGUCUUCGGAUUGUAAACUGCUUUUGUCAGGGAAGCGGUACCUGAAGAAUAAGCACCGGCUAACUACGUGCCAGCAGCCGCGGUAAUAC
rnacentral:rRNA from 1 species